ACAGACUUAACUGCAGGAAGGAAGGAGAGGCAGAACUGUAGCUGCUCAGAAGAAUGGCUUGCCUAGAGGGCUCACAGGAUGCAUGGGGGCAAAGGGGAAGGCCUCAUGCUGUCUGUCUGUCUGUCUGUCUGUCUGUCUGUCUGUCUUUUGUUUUCCCUGCCAUUCAUUCCCUUAGGUAGAAAUGACAGUUGUCCAUAGAGCUUCCCCUCUCUGUUCCGGGGAGCCUAAUAACUCAUCAUUAAAAAGAAAUCACUUCCUCCAUGCAGAUUGUAUUACCCAAGAAAAUGCAAAUUUGGGGGCUAACCGGGUGGUUCUUUAGGUAAAGGUACUCUCUUGAAAGUUAAAAGAAGAUGGAUGCACAGAGUUCAGCUAAAGUCAAUUCAAG
rnacentral:lncRNA from 1 species